CUACGGGGCGCAGCAGUGAGGAAUAUUGCACAAUGGGGGGAACCCUGAUGCAGCAACGCCGCGUGGAGGAUGACGCAUUUCGGUGUGUAAACUCCUUUUAUAUGUCAAGAAAAUGACGGUAGCAUAUGAAUAAGCACCGGCUAACUCCGUGCCAGCAGCCGCGGUAAUACGGAGGGUGCAAGCGUUACUCGGAAUCACUGGGCGUAAAGGACGCGUAGGCGGGUUGGAAAGUCAGGUGUGAAAUCCUACAGCUUAACUGUAGAACUGCACUUGAAACUUCUGAUCUAGAGUAUGGGAGGGGGAGAUGGAAUUAGUGGUGUAGGGGUAAAAUCCGUAGAUAUCACUAGGAAUACCUAAAGCGAAGGCGAUCUCCCGGAACAUUACUGACGCUAAGGCGUGAAAGCGUGGGGAGCAAACAGGAUUAGAUACCCUAGUAGUC
rnacentral:rRNA from 1 species